CUCAGUAACACGUGGAUAACCUACCCUAAGGUGGGGGAUAAUCUCGGAAAACUGAGGAUAAUACCCCAUAGAUCUUGGCUGCUGGAAUGCACUUAGGUUAAAAGCUCCGGCGCCUUAGGAUGGGUCUGCGGCCUAUCAGGUAGUAGUGAGUGUAAAGGACUCACUAGCCGACGACGGGUACGGGCCAUGGGAGUGGUUGCCCGGAGAUGGACUCUGAGACACGAGUCCAGGCCCUACGGGGCGCAGCAGGCGCGAAAACUUCGCAAUGCGCGCAAGCGCGACGAGGGGAUUCCAAGUGCAUGCACUCAGUGUAUGCUGUUUAUUAGUCUAAAAAGCUUAUAGAGUAAGGGCUGGGUAAGACUGGUGCCAGCCGCCGCGGUAAUACCAGCGGCCCUAGUGGUGAUCGUUAUUAUUGGGCCUAAAGCGUCCGUAGCCGGUUCGGUAAAUCUCUGGGUAAAUCGAUGGGCUUAACCCAUCGAAUUCUGGGGAGACUGCUGGACUUGGGACCGGGAGAGGUCGGAGGUACUCCAGGGGUAGGGGUGAAAUUCUGUAAUCCUAGGGGGACCCCCAGUGGCGAAGGCGUCUAGCUAGAACGGGUCUGACGGUGAGGGACGAAGCCCUGGGGCGCAAACCGGAUUAGAUACCCGGGUAGUCCAGGGUGUAAACGCUGCUUGCUUGAUGUUAGUUGGGCUCCGAGCCCAACUAGUGUCGGAGAGAAGUUGUUAAGCAAGCUGCCUGGGAAGUACGGUCGCAAGACUGAAACUAAAG
rnacentral:rRNA from 1 species